rnacentral:rRNA from 1 species
ACGGCAGCAUGAUCUAGCUUGCUAGAUUGAUGGCGAGUGGCGAACGGGUGAGUAAUACAUCGGAACGUGCCCUGUAGUGGGGGAUAACUAGUCGAAAGAUUAGCUAAUACCGCAUACGACCUGAGGGUGAAAGUGGGGGACCGCAAGGCCUCAUGCUAUAGGAGCGGCCGAUGUCUGAUUAGCUAGUUGGUGGGGUAAAGGCCCACCAAGGCGACGAUCAGUAGCUGGUCUGAGAGGACGAUCAGCCACACUGGGACUGAGACACGGCCCAGACUCCUACGGGAGGCAGCAGUGGGGAAUUUUGGACAAUGGGCGAAAGCCUGAUCCAGCAAUGCCGCGUGUGUGAAGAAGGCCUUCGGGUUGUAAAGCACUUUUGUCCGGAAAGAAAUGGCUCUGGUUAAUACCUGGGGUCGAUGACGGUACCGGAAGAAUAAGGACCGGCUAACUACGUGCCAGCAGCCGCGGUAAUACGUAGGGUCCAAGCGUUAAUCGGAAUUACUGGGCGUAAAGCGUGCGCAGGCGGUUGUGCAAGACCGAUGUGAAAUCCCCGAGCUUAACUUGGGAAUUGCAUUGGUGACUGCACGGCUAGAGUGUGUCAGAGGGGGGUAGAAUUCCACGUGUAGCAGUGAAAUGCGUAGAGAUGUGGAGGAAUACCGAUGGCGAAGGCAGCCCCCUGGGAUAACACUGACGCUCAUGCACGAAAGCGUGGGGAGCAAACAGGAUUAGAUACCCUGGUAGUCCACGCCCUAAACGAUGUCAACUAGUUGUUGGGGAUUCAUUUCCUUAGUAACGUAGCUAACGCGUGAAGUUGACCGCCUGGGGAGUACGGUCGCAAGAUUAAAACUCAAAGGAAUUGACGGGGACCCGCACAAGCGGUGGAUGAUGUGGAUUAAUUCGAUGCAACGCGAAAAACCUUACCUACCCUUGACAUGCCACUAACGAAGCAGAGAUGCAUUAGGUGCUCGAAAGAGAAAGUGGACACAGGUGCUGCAUGGCUGUCGUCAGCUCGUGUCGUGAGAUGUUGGGUUAAGUCCCGCAACGAGCGCAACCCUUGUCUCUAGUUGCUACGAAAGGGCACUCUAGAGAGACUGCCGGUGACAAACCGGAGGAAGGUGGGGAUGACGUCAAGUCCUCAUGGCCCUUAUGGGUAGGGCUUCACACGUCAUACAAUGGUGCAUACAGAGGGUUGCCAAGCCGCGAGGUGGAGCUAAUCCCAGAAAAUGCAUCGUAGUCCGGAUCGUAGUCUGCAACUCGACUACGUGAAGCUGGAAUCGCUAGUAAUCGCGGAUCAGCAUGCCGCGGUGAUACGUUCCCGGGUCUUGUACACACCGCCCGUCACACCAUGGGA